rnacentral:tRNA from 1 species
GAGGGUAAAAGCUUAGUGGUAGAGCACAUGCUUAGCUUGCAGGAAGUCCUGGGUUCAAUCCCCAGUACUUCCA